CCACCAAAAAUCCCGAGAAGACACCAUAGACCGUAAUAUACACGUACACGAAUACGCGAUAAUAUUUUUAGGUAUAUUAUUUUUUUAAUAAUUAAAAAAAUAGCGAUGCAAAAUAAAAGUGACGUUGCGCAAUCCGGUUGCCGUGCGUGCAGCGCCGCCGCAGUAUAACCUUGUACUUGACUCGACGUUACACUACUACUGUUACUGUACCAUAUACCUACGGAACUACAACAUCAUUACUACUACUUUUACCACUACUACCACUGAUAUCACUAUAGCCGCGGUUACUACCGCCGCCGCCGUCGUCGUGUGUGUGUGCGUGUUGGCGCGCUCGUGAUAUAAUCAUAACCGCUGGCAGCGGUCUCGCAGCGGUUUUCUGGUUAAUUUUCGCGGAGACGCGUCCGCCGCCACCGUCGUCGUCGUCGCGCGAGUGAAAAAGUGAACAGUUCGCGGGAAUUAAAUAAAUAAAAAACCGAAACCGAAACCGCUCGUCCGGGUCUCGUAGAUCGCGUAGGUGAGACUAGCCGCAGACGACCGACGACCGUUGUCGUGGCCGCACUUGGCCGCGGACCACUGCCGCGACAUCAUGUUGGACGUGGUGCGAACGUGUUUCACGUGCACGUCACGGAAAAAACGCUGUCAGUCAGUCGUUCACUGUUCGUAAAUUAGUAUAGGUACUUGUCUGCAAUAUCGGAGUUGAGGACGUUUUAUUGUUCAUAGAAUAAUUAACAAUGGUGCUCGACGCAAGAAAUGAAAAAUGCUCAUUCGCAGAUCAAAUAAAUCUUCACUUAUCACCAGUUGUAGAUUCUAUUGUGGAAGAAGCAGUAUUUCCAGUUAUUGAAAUUGAAGCCAAAGUACAAUUUCUUGGACUUCGCGAAGACAACACACAAAAAAUAGAUUUUGGAAACACAUAACUAGCAACAUUUUGGCGAAAAAUUGGUGCGUGAUAGUGGAUUUCCAUUACCAUGACUAGAGCAAGAAAUCGAUCGAACUUGGAACACGGCAUAAUAAGAUGUUCAUUGACUGAAACUGAACCGAAUAUUAAACAAAUCGUUAGAAUUAAACAAAUCAGCCGGAUUAUUAGCUGAUAUUAUGUUAAAUUAUUGAUUCUAAAACAACUUUUUUAUUUAAGUUUUUUUUCAUGUUUAAAACAAAUAAAAAAUAUUAUUUUUUU
rnacentral:lncRNA from 1 species